GAUGAACGCUAGCGGGAGGCCUAACACAUGCAAGCCGAGCGGUAGAGAUUCUUCGGGAUCUUGAGAGCGGCGUACGGGUGCGGAACACGUGUGCAACCUGCCUUUAUCAGGGGGAUAGCCUUUCGAAAGGAAGAUUAAUACCCCAUAAUAUAUUGAUUGGCAUCAAUUAAUAUUGAAAACUCCGGUGGAUAGAGAUGGGCACGCGCAAGAUUAGAUAGUUGGUAGGGUAACGGCCUACCAAGUCAAUGAUCUUUAGGGGGCCUGAGAGGGUGAUCCCCCACACUGGUACUGAGACACGGACCAGACUCCUACGGGAGGCAGCAGUGAGGAAUAUUGGACAAUGGGUGAGAGCCUGAUCCAGCCAUCCCGCGUGAAGGACGACGGCCCUAUGGGUUGUAAACUUCUUUUGUAUAGGGGUAAACCUUUCCACGUGUGGAAAGCUGAAGGUACUAUACGAAUAAGCACCGGCUAACUCCGUGCCAGCAGCCGCGGUAAUACGGAGGGUGCAAGCGUUAUCCGGAUUUAUUGGGUUUAAAGGGUCCGUAGGCGGAUCUGUAAGUCAGUGGUGAAAUCUCAUAGCUUAACUAUGAAACUGCCAUUGAUACUGCAGGUCUUGAGUAGAGUAGAAGUGGCUGGAAUAAGUAGUGUAGCGGUGAAAUGCAUAGAUAUUACUUAGAACACCAAUUGCGAAGGCAGGUCACUAUGUUUUAACUGACGCUGAUGGACGAAAGCGUGGGGAGCGAACAGGAUUAGAUACCCUGGUAGUCCACGCCGUAAACGAUGCUAACUCGUUUUUGGGGCUUUAAGCUUCAGAGACUAAGCGAAAGUGAUAAGUUAGCCACCUGGGGAGUACGUUCGCAAGAAUGAAACUCAAAGGAAUUGACGGGGGCCCGCACAAGCGGUGGAUUAUGUGGUUUAAUUCGAUGAUACGCGAGGAACCUUACCAAGGCUUAAAUGGGAAUUGACAGGUUUAGAAAUAGACUUUUCUUCGGACAAUUUUCAAGGUGCUGCAUGGUUGUCGUCAGCUCGUGCCGUGAGGUGUUAGGUUAAGUCCUGCAACGAGCGCAACCCCUGUCACUAGUUGCCAUCAUUCAGUUGGGGACUCUAGUGAGACUGCCUACGCAAGUAGAGAGGAAGGUGGGGAUGACGUCAAAUCAUCACGGCCCUUACGCCUUGGGCCACACACGUAAUACAAUGGCCGGUACAGAGGGCAGCUACUUAGUGAUAAGAUGCGAAUCUCGAAAGCCGGUCUCAGUUCGGAUUGGAGUCUGCAACUCGACUCUAUGAAGCUGGAAUCGCUAGUAAUCGCGCAUCAGCCAUGGCGCGGUGAAUACGUUCCCGGGCCU
rnacentral:rRNA from 1 species